UACGGGGGGGAGCAAGCGUUGUUCGGAUUUACUGGGCGUAAAGGGCGCGUAGGCGGCCACCGCAAGUCGACUGUGAAAUCUCCGGGCUUAACCCGGAAAGGUCAGCCGAUACUGCGGGGGCUAGAGUGCAGAAGGGGCAACUGGAAUUCUCGGUGUAGCGGUGAAAUGCGUAGAUAUCGAGAGGAACACCUGCGGCGAAGGCGGGUUGCUGGGCUGACACUGACGCUGAUGUGCGAAAGCUAGGGGAGCGAACGGG
rnacentral:rRNA from 1 species